AAGACUGUGCUUCACAGGAUCAUUUCUGUAGGCAAGUUUUCACCACUAGUUUUUUCCGAAAGGAAAAGAUUUCCCACCCACGAUGAUGAGACAUUGGUGGCCAGUUCGGAGCGUGAAACUUGGUUCGGCUUAGCCCAUUCGACCUAGUUCGAUAGGGUACCGGGCUUCUGAUGAUCGGCUUCCUUGCAAUAGAGCUGGCCGCGGUCUGAGUGGU
rfam:Aedes albopictus isolate Foshan contig157031, whole genome shotgun sequence.